rnacentral:rRNA from 1 species
UACAGAGGUCUCAAGCGUUGUUCGGAUUCAUUGGGCGUAAAGGGGGCGUAGGUGGCGAGGUUAGUCAGGUGUGAAAUCUCGGGGCUCAACCCCGAAACUGCACUUGAUACUGCCUUGCUAGAGUACUGGAGAGGAGAUUGGAAUUUACGGUGUAGCAGUGAAAUGCGUAGAUAUCGUAAGGAAGACCAGUGGCGAAGGCGAAUCUCUGGACAGUUACUGACACUGAGGCACGAAGGCCAGGGGAGCAAACGGG